UACGUAGGGACCAAGCGUUGUUCGGAUUUACUGGGCGUAAAGGGCGCGUAGGCGGCGUGACAAGUCACUUGUGAAAUCUCCGGGCUUAACUCGGAACGGCCAAGUGAUACUGUCGUGCUAGAGUGCAGAAGGGGCAAUCGGAAUUCUUGGUGUAGCGGUGAAAUGCGUUGAUAUCGUUCGGAACACCAAUAGCGUAGGCAGGCUUCUGGGUGCCACCUGACACUGCUAGGACGAAAGCGUGGGGAGCGAAUGGG
rnacentral:rRNA from 1 species